AAAAAAUAAAGAAAAAGAAAAC
rnacentral:sRNA from 1 species